rnacentral:rRNA from 1 species
UACGGGGGGGGUAAGCGUUGUUCGGAAUUACUGGGCUUAAAGGGUGCGUAGGCGGUGUAGCAAGUCGGGAGUGAAAUCCCGCAGCUCAACUGCGGAAUUGCUUUCGAUACUGCUGCGCUUGAGUGAGAUAGAGGUAAGCGGAACUUAGGGUGGAGCGGUGAAAUGCGUUGAUAUCCUAAGGAACACCGGUGGCGAAGGCGGCUUACUGGGUCUCUACUGACGCUGAUGCACGAAAGCCAGGGUAGCGAACGGG